CUGCUGUUUGGCACCGGGAGAUGAAUCACUUGCUUUUCAAAUUAGAAUCUUCCUUGAUGUCAGAAAUGUUUCUUCUCUACAAGGAAAUGGAGUCCCAGGUGGAGGGUACCUCGCAGCACACUCUGCAGCCUCCGGCUCUCCCUUCUGAGUCCACCUGCCCGGCCGAUUGGGCUGUGUGGUCACUGUCCUCAAGACCUUGUGUGCCAUGAGGGCUCAGAGCCCUGAGCCUCAGCACAGGAAGUGCCACCCAGGCAGCCAACACCUGCUCAGCGGGCGGACGGCCUUGCCGACUCGGCUUUGCUCCCGGGAGCCCCCUGGAGAAGCCACAGGGAGACGGACAGCCCUGGGCAGCUCCAGCUUGCCAGCUCCACAUCCAAGGUCCUCCUUCUGGGGUGGGGUGAUAGUCUGUUCAAGGCAUAUGCCCAAAAUAACAUUUUUGAAAGUCUUUAAAAAUGGGGUAAAGCUGACGUACC
rnacentral:lncRNA from 1 species